GGCUCCAUAGUGUAGUGGUUACCAUGUCUGCUUUACACGCAGAAUGUCCGGGGUUUGCUCCCCAGGUGGAGCCA
rfam:Pteropus alecto contig61663, whole genome shotgun sequence.